AUCUGUGGUCUGUGAUCAAUGAUCAUAAUAAAUGAAUGAUUACAUACUUCUAUAAAAUAAUAAUUUGAUUAUUUCUGUAAAACAGCUAUUGCAAAUUACAAUUGUAUAUCCAUAACAAAUAACACAGCGAGAACACUAUAUCAGGAGUUAAAACAGUAAUAUUAUAUUUGUCAUGAUUAACUAAUUUAAUUUAUUGUAACAAAGUAUCGUCCAAAAGUUCGCAAUGAGUGACUUGAUGCAAUACAUGCUUGCUACUCUGGGAGCCUUUGUAAUGAUGGGUGUUCUGAGUUGUAUAUGUUGUGUUUGUAUGAAAUGGAGUGAUCUAAAACUGAAGAAUUAUGUUCUGGAUCUUGCAAGGAGAAGGAAUUAUAAUAUUGAGGAGAAGUUAAAUAAAAGGACACCUUGUCAGUCACCACACAUAAAUGAAAACUGUACAAUCAUGAUACCGGAUGUUGCCAUUGUUCUGUAGUAAUUUAAUUUAGGUAAGAUUGUAAGCGCACACUGUAAGUCUGUUAAGUAUUCUUGUAAUAAAUGAGUAUUCUUUUUGGAUAUAAAGUGCCUUUGCUAUUUCCUAACUGAAGGGGGUUGCUAUUAAAAAGUUCAUAUUUUUAUGUCCUGUAUUUCAAAUAUAGGUUAGAGUUAUAUGUAUAUACAUGUAGUUUAUCCCAACUUCACAUAUAAAUAAAAAUUCUGUGGUACCUACAUUAUCUUUCUAAAUACACCUUGUUGAGAUCUCUAAUUUCUCAAAAAAAAAAAAUUGUGACAUAUUUUUUUAGACUGGUAUGUAAUAAUACUAGAUUUUGAGUAGAUCCAUAACUAACAAUUCACAAAAAAAUAGAACCUCUCAUUAUUAUAUGACAUAAAAAAUGAAAUAGAUAUGCAGUACUUGUAUCCAAAAGAAUGCUUCUAUAAUAUAUAGGUAAACUGUUUUAAGACAAGUUAUAUGAUAAUAAUAAUAAGCAGAUUUAUAACUUUUUUUUAAAUUUGUAAAGCUUUCUUGAUUGAAUGUGUGACGAGAUAUGAAUUAAAGUUAUAAUAGUUAUUUAUGCCACUAUCAAGUAAUGAGUGCCAUUCUUACUUGAGUACUGUCCAUUGUGCCAUGAGGUGAAGCCAAAUGUUAAUUAUUAACUCUUACAAGCCAUUGUUAUGAGUGUUCCAUUGUCGAGGGACUUGAUGGCUGGUCCAUGCGUCAUCAAAUAUUUUAUGGGAUAGAUAUGAUGUAAGUAGUUCAAAUUAUGUAUAUAGUAAUUUUACUUUGCAGUGCAGGCAGCGAGCUUUCUGCCACUCCCUGUCAAAGGCUUGUGUCUAGAGAAGUAAAGCUUGUCCAACAAUAUUAUUUUUUCUCAAAGGCCUUCCUUAUUACUUUAACGACAAAUUGAUGAUCUGGAAUAAUUGACUCUUCUUUCAAGCCACUGUUUAGUUUUUGAAGAAGGGUGUUUUCGAAUAGCUGGGAAAGAAUUGAUAGUUGGUUUAUGGACCUGUAGCUAUUAAUUUCUUAGACAGGUAUAUGUUUGGCGAUUCUUGUGUUUUUCAUAAAAAAAAUAAUUCUGUGCAAGCUGGGGAAGCCAUGUUGUUUUGAUAUUAAGCAAUUUUUUAUGUUUAUUUUUAAUGUUGCCAUAGUCUUUGAGCGGACUUCAUGGCAUUUCUCUGAAAACUUCAUACCCUUUGAAGUUUGCUGAAUAGGCAUUGAAAAAGGGAGUACAAGAGGCUGGUGUUUUGCAGUGUCUUAGAACAUUCAGUGAUUCUGUGGGAUUCUGCAUAUUUUCCGCAGUGGUGUGGCCUCAUGCAGUAGUAGUUCCCAAACCCCAACAUUUCGUUGCUUUCGAUUCCAUGAAAUAGUCGUAACACUUUCCAAAUUUUUUCGUGUUCUUGUAAUAAUUCUGUUACGGUCUACAUAGACAACAUGGCUAUUUGAGGUUUAGUUAUAUGAUGGCGUUAAUGUUUCGUCCUUAUCGCUGUGUUCCCGCAUAUUGUUUAUUGUCGACAGUUG